rnacentral:lncRNA from 1 species
UGUACGUUGUCACACUCUCUCUCUCUCUCACACACACAGAGAGAGCACAACCAUUAGAUAUUUGGAUGCUUGAAAAAAUAUCUUUAUUUAUUUAAAUUAUUUUAUAGAAUCUCCCAAAAGAUUAUCCCUUUUUUGUUCGAUUCAAUCCCAUGAGAACCUGAAAAUAUCAAUCAGAAACUCUCUCUCUCUCUCUCUCUCUCUCUCUCUCUCUCUUUCACACGCGCGCGUGCGCAGUGUACCAGAUUCGCUUCUUACUCGGCUUCAUUCCACCGCUCUGCAGUUUCAGAUGAAUUGCCUUCCGAAUCUUCCAAGGUUUGUGCUAAUCUACGGGCUUAUCGAUUCUGGAUUGAGUCAAUCAUUUCAUAUUUGUUAAUAUUUCGUGUUUCAGAUCCUCUGCAUUGCCUCUGCAGAGCUUCAAAAACUAUGCCAGAAGUCUUCGAUGUCCCGUCAUUAUACUAGUAAGAGGAAUUAAAGUCUAGACGAACAAUGAAAAUUCAAAAAUAUUGAAUUUACAUUUCCAUAUGGAUGGUAAUAUGUUCUAAUUAAUGUGCUAUUUGGAGGGUUGUUCGUUUGUAUAAUAAUUUUUUUAUGAUUGUGAUUCAGGGUGUGGAGAGAGGUAUUGAUUUAUCACAGACACAAGUUAAUGUUUUAAAGGUAAGAUUUGAAA